rnacentral:rRNA from 1 species
AGCAGCCGCGGUAAUUCCAGCUCCAAUAGCGUAUAUUAAAGUUGUUGCAGUUAAAAAGCUCGUAGUUGAAUUUCGGGAUCAAAUUGUCGGUCGUGCCUCGGUACGUACUGGCGUUAUUGGUUCCUCCCUUCUGAAGAACCGCGAUGUCAUUUAUUUGGUGUCGUGGGAAAUCAGGACUGUUACUUUGAAAAAAUUAGAGUGUUUAAAGCAGGCUCACGCUUGAAUACAUUAGCAUGGAAUAAUGAAAUAGGACGUUUGAUUCUAUUUUGUUGGUUUCUAGGAUCGACGUAAUGAUUAAUAGGGAUAGUUGGGGGCAUUAGUAUUCAAUUGUCAGAGGUGAAAUUCUUGGAUUUAUUGAAGACUAACUACUGCGAAAGCAUUUGCCAAGGAUGUUUUCAUUAAUCAAGACGAAAGUUAGGGGAUCGAAGACGAUCAGAUACCGUCGUAGUCUUAACCAUAAACUAUGCCGACUAGGGAUCGGAUGAUGUUAAUUUUUUAAUG